GGCUCAGUGGUCCAAUGGUAAAGCGCUCGUCGCAAAACCCGGGGGUCCUAGGCUCGAUCCUCAACAGGGUCG
rnacentral:tRNA from 1 species